UACUUUAGGAUUGAUGAGUCCAGUGGCUCUGGUCCAUUUCCCUGCCAUUCCCUUGGCGUCAAUUUACUCCCAGGGCUGGCAGUGAGAUGGGUCAAGGCUCACACCUUCACC
ensembl:miRNA